UUUCUCUUCGAUGUAGUUAUUUAAAAAUUGCUAUAAGAAGCUAUAUAUUAUCGAAGUGGUGUUGUAGAGACAUUUUUUUUUUUGUUUAAAAUACAGAUGUUCCUAUUGCUGCGGUUUUUAGGAAGAAAAGUGUUGGCCUACCAAAAUAGAUAUGAAAGAGACGUUUGCUAUCUACACGAAUAUAUAAAGUAUAUAUCAGGCUCUUCAAAUGCGCUGAUUAUCAGCUUGAAAAAAGAGGGACGUCAGGAGCCCACAUGGAAAGAUAGAAUGGCUGAUCAAGACAAAAAAAAUUGGUCAUGAACUGAUUAUUUGACUCGUGACAAUAAUUCUAGGCAUAAGAUUGGCUGAUUACCGUUAGUUAGCAAUUUAGAGAACUUGGUUUGGCGGUCAAUGCCUAACGGAGUAAAACCAAACAGGCGAAUAUUGUAAGAUACAAUACAGUACGCGACUGUAAUACCCGAUCUCAAUGAUAAAGCAAUUCAUAAGACACUGCAUGCCCUCAAAAGAUAAUUGGUGAAUAGAUUUACGGCGUUAAGAUGAGAAAAACUUCUGGUUAACGAUAGAGAAUAUUUUUAAUAACGUGUAUUUUCUACUUUUCGUUAUCUUUCUACGUUUUCUUUUGUCUUUUAUACUUCUUUUUUAAACAAAAAGGAAAAAUUGUCCGAAAUUACAUUAAAGCA